rnacentral:pre_miRNA from 1 species
UAAGUACUCCCUCCGUUCGGAAUUACUUGUCGCAGAAAUGGAUGUAUCUAGAUGUAUUUUAGUUCUAGAUACAUCCAUUUCCAAGACAAGUAAUUCCGAACGGAGGGAGUAAUUA